GUUUCAAUAGUUUAAAACAAAACUUUGGUCUUGUAAACCAAGAAUGGAACA
rnacentral:tRNA from 1 species